AAAAGAUUGCCCAGUACUUCUUUAGUGGAUCUUUCUUAUGUUUCUGGUAGGGAUAAUGAUAAAGAGGAAAUCUUGAAGUUGCUUUUUAGUGAUAAGGGGUGUGAUGAGUACGGGAAUGGUGUGAUUCCUAUUGUAGGGAUGGGUGGUGUGGGUAAGACCACCCUUGCUCAGCUUGUCUACAAUGAUGAGAAAGUAGAUAAGUUUUUCGAUUUCAAAGUUUGGUGCUGUGUUUCUGAGGAUUUUGAUGUUGUUAGGGUUACGAGAACUAUUCUUGAGGCAGUUUCGGGGAGUUACGAUGCGAAGGAUUUGAAUCUGCUUCAACUUAGGCUGAUAGAGAAAUUGGAGGGGAAGAAGUUUCUUGUUGUUUUAGAUGAUGUUUGGAAUGAGAACUAUGAUGACUGGACUGUCCUUCGCCGUCCUUUCCAAGUGACAUCCCCUGGGAGUAGAAUCAUCCUCACAACUCGAAAUCAAGAUGUUGCAUUAAUGAUGAGUGCUUUUCCAUGUUUCCUUUUGAAAGAACUGUCAUUUGAGGAUAGCCUGUCUUUGUUUGCAAAGCAUGCCCUGGGAAGGUCCAAUUUCAGUGAUCUGCCAGACCUGCAGGAGAUCGGCCAGAAAAUAGUUCGAAGGUGCGGGGGACUGCCACUGGCUGUUAAAACACUCGGGGGCCUCUUGCGCACUAAACCUUAUGUUGAUGAAUGGGAAAGUGUACUUAAUAGGAAAAUGUGGGAUAUAUCAGAACACAAGGGCGGCAUAGUUCCAGCCUUGAGGUUGAGCUACUAUCAUCUUCCUUCACACUUGAAGCAAUUGUUUGUUUUCUGUUCUAUACUUCCAAAAGACUAUGAAUUCUAUAAGGAUGAAUUAGUGUUGUUAUGGAUGGCCCAAGGAUUUCUGCCAGAUGCAGGAGGAAAGAAGCGGAUGGAAGACUUCUAUUCUUGUUUUAAUGAAUUAUUAUCAAGAUCGUUUUUCCAGAAUCAAGCAGCAAUGAACAUCGUUAUCUGAUGCAUCAUCUCAUCAGUGAUCUGGCUCAAUCUAUUGCUGGAGAAACGUGUGUCAUUUAAAUGAUAAGCUGGAAAAUAACAAGGUCUUUCCAGAUCCUGAAAAGACUCGCCAUAUGUCAUUCACUCAUAGUACAUACGAGGUGCUGCAGAGGUUCAAAGACCUGGGUAAACUGAAGCGUCUGCGAACUUUCAUUGCAUUGCCACCUUACUCUUCACCUGGGCCGCAUAUUGCUACUUGAGUAAUAAUGUAUUACAUGAGGCCCUGUUCAAAUUGAGACGCUUAAGAGUUCUUUCAUUGAGUGGUUAUUGCAUUACAGAGCUACCAAAUUCAAUUGGUGAUUUGAAGCAGUUACGUUACCUUAAUUUCUCUCAAACUAAGAUUAAGCGGUUGCCUGAAUCUGUGAGCACUCUCAUAAACUUGCAGACUCUCAAAUUAAGCGGAUGCAGGAAGCUUAAUAAGCUGCCACAAGGGACUGGGAAUCUUAUCAAUCUUUGUCAUCUGGAUAUUACUGAUACUGAUAACUUACUUGAGAUGCCUCCGUGGAUGGGUAAUUUGACAGGUCUUCAGAAAUUGUCAAAGUUCAUCGUAGGAAAAAAAGAGGGCUGUGGAAUUGAAGAAUUAAGAGGGUUGAAGAAUCUUCAAGGCCGACUUUCCAUAAUGGCAUUGCAUAAUGUGAUAGAUGCUCGACAUGCAGUUCAUGCUAAUUUAAGGGGCAAGCACAACCUUGAUGAGUUAGAAUUGGAAUGGUUUACGAGUGACAUUAAAGAUAAAGGCCGACAACAUCAAAUGCUUGUUCUUGACUCAGUGCAACCUGAAUAUCAACUGCUUGUUCUCGACUCACUACAACCUCACACAAACCUUAAAGAACUGAAGAUUUCAUUCUAUGGCGGGACAGAAUUUCCUUCAUGGGUAGGACAUCCAUCAUUUUCUGAAAUAGUGCACUUGAAACUGUCUUGUUGCUGGAGAUGCACUGUAUUGCCACCACUUGGGAGGCUACCUUUACUCAGGGAUCUGUGCAUACAAGGCCUGGAUGCUGUGGAGACUGUUGGUCCUGAGUUUUAUGGAUAUGGUUCUUCAGUCAAGCCUUUUCCAUCUCUGAAGACUUUGACAUUUGAGGAUAUGCAGGAAUGGAAAUCUUGGUCCGGAGCUGGAGUUGAUGGAGAAGCUGAAGAAGAAUUUCCUAGUCUUUCUGAGCUUACUUUAUGGAAUUGUCCCAAGCUGCUUGGCAAGUUCCCUAGCUGUCUUCCUUCCUGUGUAAAGAUUACGAUUUCAAAAUGCCCAAUUUUGGUAGAUUCAGACGAAAAGCUUCCAGUGCAUAGUGAACUGAAAUUAGAAGAAUGUGUUGAGGUGACACCUAAAUGCAUAUUUUAUAACUCCUCCCUAAUCACUUUGAAACUUGUGAGUAUCUCAAGGCUUACUUGUUUGAAGGGCCAGUUUCUGCGGUCACUGGGAGCACUUAAAGUUCUGAUGAUUUCUGAUUUCCCCGAACUAACCUCGUUGUGGCAAAAAGGAACUGGAUUAGAAAAUUUUGAAUAUCCUCAAUUUGUGUCAUUGACAGAGAUUGGUAUGCCCAGCGCUCAUAAAAGUUCAAAAUUGUCAGGCUGUGGUAAGCUGGAUCUUCUGCCAAUCCAUAGGGUGCGUGUGCUUUUGUCUCUUGAGGAUCUGUGCAUCGAAUCAUGUCCAAAUCUUGUGUCCAUUCCUGAAGCUGGACUUUUAUCGUCACUGAGACAUCUAGUACUUCGGGAUUGCAAAGCUCUUAGAUUCACUCCCCCUGAUGGCAUGAGCAAUUGUCCUCUUGAAGACUUGGAGAUAGAAAAGUGUCCUUCGCUCAAAUGCUUUCCAGGAGGGAUGUUACCUGCAACGUUAAAAGGGUUGAAGAUUCGAAACUGUACAGAAUUAAAGUCUCUGCCUGAGGGUUUGAUGCACAACAAAAAUGGCCCUGGCACCCCGUGUCAGUUUGAGCACCUGGAGAUCAUUGGCUGUCCAUCUCUCAAAUCCUUUCCUGAUGGGAAAUUACCACCUCGAAUCAAGACACUAAAAAUCUGGGACUGUUCCCAAUUGAUGCCUCUUUCAGAAAUGAUGUUGCUUGAUGAUAUGUCCCUCGAAUACCUAGCCAUUUCAGACUGCGAAGCCCUGUCAAGCUUUCCUGAGUGCCUUGGCAGCUUCAAGCAUCUCUCUGAAUUAAAUUGAAGUAAUUGUUCUGCUCUGAAGUUCAUUCCGGGAGAUGGCUUUUCCCUCGCUAACCUCAGAACGUUGACUAUAUACAAUUGCAAAAAUCGCAAGUCUCUACCUAAAGCGAUGCGAAAACUCACAUCUCUGCAAGAACUGACAAUUUGUAGCUGCCCAGAUCUGAUAUCCUUUCCAUGUGGUGAUAUGCCUCCGAACUUGACAUCGCUUGAGAUCUGGGAUUGUGAUCGUCUUGAUGGGUGCCUGUCAAAGUGGAACUUGCAAAGUCUAGCCAGCCUUGGUGAUUUUAGUAUCGCUGGUGGAUGUUUUUCGGGCACAGUUUCCUUUCCAGAUGAGAAGUGUCUGUUUCCGACAACUCUAACUUCUGUUCGGAUUGGAAGACUUCCAAAUCUGGAAUCUCUAUCCAUGCAGCUCCAAAGUCUUGCGUAUCUAGAAGAGCUAGAAAUUGUUGUGUCCUAAAUUAAAGUCCUUGCCUAGGGGAUGCCUACCUCAUGCUCUUGGAAGAUUCAGCAUCAGGGACUGUCCGUUAAUGACACAGCGCUGUUCCAAGGAGAAAGGAGUGUACUGGCCGUUGAUAUCCCACAUCCCUUGUGUGGAGAUAGAUGAUGGCCAUGACAUGUAAAGAGUUAUGGGGUUGCCUGUUAUAAUGUCUUUUUCAUAUGCACAUGUAAAAUGUAUCCCAUCUGUAAUCAAUAAUAUUUUGAAUUUUCGAAACAAAGGUGUUCUGUUUCUGACUUGCUGGAAGUUGUGUUUAAUUCUAAUUUUGAAGGGAGAAGGAUUUUUCAUGGUAUUAUGUCAGGUUGUUUGGAUAUUAAUUAUCACAGCCGAACGCGUUGCUUCCUGCCCGAAGAAUUCAGGCUGUUCAUCUCUGUGAAUGUGUUCUUUUGUUAAACAUUCAUUAAAAAUCACUUUGUUGGUAAAAGCGCCAAUCAUAAUGUCUAGAAUUUAUUUCAGAAGAAAAACUGUUUGAAUCGGUGCGAUCGUUUAGUUCCAUAGAGCUCUGGCCACAGCCGAACCAUUUUCAAGCUUUCAGGUGAAAUGCUCUGCCAUCUGCUGUGUUGUUGGGGAACUCCUAGGGAGGAGCGGUUAUUUCAGGGUGGUGAAGAAUUGGUAUUUGAGCAAGAGUUGGGAUCAUUUGGUUAUCUAGUUGUUUGAUGUUUUUCUUUCUCUAGGUUAGAUAUCCCAUGCUUUAUCUCUUGUAUUGAUAUCCCACGCCGUCUUAGGACAGGUUGUGAAGCUAAAGCCUCAAAGGUUAUUGAUAUCCAUGAAGGUUUUAAUCAUGAGGUGUUUCCUCCAUAUUUCCUUCUACGCUUAUCUAGGAUUGUAAUUCAUCGACAGUUGCUGCUUGUACGCGCAGCUUGGAAACUCAGCUACACUCGAUGCUGGAAAGGAUGGAGAACUCAUGAAUGGAAAGAUAACUUCAAGGAGCUAGAAGCAUUCGUUGAAUGAGUAGAUUUUUUUGGCAUUCUUUUUAAAGAGAUCUACCAUUCUUUUUUAAAUAUUUUCAAGCAAUGGGGUACAUGAGUGUUUCCUUUUAAGGGAUAAAUUAGGAAAUCAGCACAUAAAAUAAAAACAAUUAGCUCGCUUUCAUCUUGUUGCGCAUCUAAGCGAGACAGAAUAAAACUCCAAUUAUUUGACUCAACUGGUUGACCAGUUCGUAAUAAUUAAUGAAAUCGGUCGAUCGGUUACAAAAAUAACAUGGAAAAUCUCAAAACUGCUAAAAUCAAGGGGCUUCGAUGAAAUUCUUGAUAUCUAAAGAUCCGACAGUCCGUAAAGCGACACAAUGGCUACUACAAGGAAAACGACCUCUGGAAACUCCUGUAAAGAUUUGAGCGUGAUCUAAUGGUCAUAUCUAAAGUCGUAACCUUUUUGAGCUGUUAUUUUAGUCUAGUGCGACCAGACCUUCUCUUGGGCUUAUACCUGUCCCCUUGGUCUAUAAAUGCAUCUGUUAGGCCAUCCACUUAAUAUUUUUAGGGCAGAUAAUUUAAGGGUUGACAAACCCACACCUGACUAUUCAGAACCACCAGUUAUCACAAUCCCGACUACAUUAUUGACAUUGAAAAACAGAGGACAACUAUUAUGUAAACAAUAACUUCUUGUGAUUUUAAUUGGAGUCUAUUUUUUAGUCUACAAGUUGGAUAAAUGUGUAUAUUUUGACUCAUAAAAUAUAUUUGGAAGAAAAAAUUUAUUAAAUUAUGAUUUUUGUGUGAAACUGUUGACUAGUUCAUGCAACUAGAUUCAAUCAAUUGACCAGUUUAGCCAGAUAAUUUAGAGUUUCACCUUUUCGUGCUUCAGAAGCGCGACAAGGUGAAACUCUAGCCUGUUUGUUUUUGCGUUUCAAAAGCGUUUUUGAAAAAAAAAUGAAAAUUUUUUAUAUUUUUUUCUAAUUUUCUCUUUGCUUCAAAUUACUUUUUUUAGUGUUUUAAAAUCAUUUUGAUGUGCUGAUGUAAAAAAUAUUAUUUUAAUGCAUUUAUGAGCGAAAAAAAUUUAAAAAGCCACUGCUACCACAAUCCCAAACAACCCAAAUCACCUGUUUUAGAAGCACGACAAAGUGAAAGUGCGCUAUUUCACCAAAUGUUUUUCAAAUUGUGUUAUUCCGUGUAACAACCUGUCCCAACCUGCCAGAUAUUGUUCGCUUUGGCCCAUGGGCCUUACGGAUUUGUUCUUGGUGACCACGCAUAGCCCCAAAACGCGUCUUUCAGAGUAGCGCAGUACACUAACCCUGUCAGAUAUUGUCCCCUCUAGGCCUCCCAGUCCACCCAUUUCCAGGGCUUCCACCCUAGGUCCCCCUUAGGAUUUCAAACGUGUUUAACAAGUUAGUAACCAACAUUACUAGUAAGGUCAACUAUCAAAUCCUCUCCCGUUGAUGUGGGUUAUUACAUUCCGUUAAUUUUUUUUAAAUGUGCUAAUUUUAAAAUAAAUAUGUUUUGAGAAUGAGAAAAUAAUUCCAAGCCAUUACAAGGGGAAUAAAAAAAAAAGUUAAGAAGAGAACUGUACAAAAAGGUGUUGGUGCAAAUCCCGAUUAAAAAUCGGUAACAUUACCGUGAAAUAAAUGAUGAAAAAAAGAAAGAUGAAAUUAUCCCAUUUACACCAUUAAUUGAGCUUAAUAUAAGGUCUAAAUGGAAAAGGAUUACAUAAAAAGUUAAAGGGGCUAAGUUCAGAGGCUCAGAUUGAAAGGGGGCAAAUCUAUCACACUGGACCUUUGGCUACUCUUUGGUGUGUGUGUGUGUCAUGAUUAAUUUUCAUUUCUGUUCCAGUUUUUUUGGAAAGAAGACAUCUGUAACCUUCCAACAAUAUAUGGUAGGCUCUCAAAUUCACACGGUUGAGAGAGAAUGAUGGGUUUGGAGUUGGGUUUGAAAUCAGAAUUCGGGCUGUAAAUUCCAGUACUGUCCAAUUUUAUGUUAUCAACCAUAACUCUCAAUCCGACCGUUAGAUCAGACUAAACUUUUAUGAGGACUCUCCUGACAUUUGUUCUUAUAUUGGGUUAAAAUUUCAGGAUAAUAGGAGUUUGGGGCCUUACAAUUAGGUUGGUAGUUAGAUGUGUUACCCAAAAACACAGGAAAAAUAUUAAGAGAGGUAAAAUGGUAAAGUAAGCAAAAUUUCUCUUUAUAAACAAGCAAAAGCGGAUGAAGGAGAACGAAAAGCCCUCCAUACCUUAUUAAGUUUUGAGUGGUUUCUUGCUUGAUUAAGAGAUUCUUAUGAGGACUAAUCAUUCUCUUAUAAAAUAAACAUGAUAUAAAUGAGUUUUGGAGUGAGAAACCAAGAAAAGAAGAUGAAUAUGUAGAGAGGGAAAGUGAGAAAUCUUGAAGAGAAGGAAGACGAGUUUGGGGUCUCAUGCAUCAAACUCCAUGGAAAUAGUGUUUAAAAUGGUAAGCAAGCCUUCACCUUUAUUUAUAUGCAAUUCUUAGUUGGUUUUGGUUAUAGGUGUAAAAUGGGUAUGUGUUUAAGCUUGAGUUUGAUUGAAUGAUGAAUUGUUGUUCUUACACUUUGAUAAUAAUGUGUUUUUGUAUGUAUCUAAGAGUGGGUAAUGUGAAAUUAUUGGAAAAGUUGAAGGAAAAUCCAUGGUUUUGAUUCAUGGUGGCAUUAGGAAAAAAAGAAAUACUUGAAGGGUUUGGGUUUUGUUGAUUGAUUUGACAUGUUUUAGUUGUUUUGGGAUGGAAUGCAUGUUAAAAGCUGAAGUGAUAAUCAUGGUUAUACCAUGGAGGAUAUUCAGCCAAAAUAGAAAAUAUUGGGGGAGGGAUUUUGAAUGAUUGUGGUGAUGAACUAUAGCUAAGCUUGAAAUGAUAUGUGUUGGAAAAAAAAACUAAUGUAAGAUUAACAUAAGUGUAUGUUGUUAAAGGUUUGUUGCAUAUGUUUAAUUGUAAAAGGAGAAAGUGAGAAAUGAAUGGUUUAUUUUUUGUUGUGUUAAUAAUUCUAAACAAGGAUAUUAAUGUAUGUAUUAUGGAAAAGAAAGAGGAGAAAUUCCAAGGGAACGAGUUUCUCUAUUUUGACCAAAUCUUGCUAUGUUGUAGAUGAAGGGAAAUUAUUUGAAUGUCUUGAUUUAGAUUUGGUUUAAAUAUGUGAUGUAAUGUAAUGAUGCUAAAUGACCUUGGAUAAUAUUGUUUAUAAAUGAUAAUUAGUUGGAAGUUGUAAAGGAUUUUCAAGGGGUGAAAAUCCUUGUCCAAAAUUUUAGUUGAAAAAAAAGAGGCUACUGUGAUUGUUUAUUUUGAGCCUUAAAAAGAUAUAACUUGGAUUUAGUUUUUUUAUGAACGUUGUAAGUAUGGAUGUUAGAUUUCAAAUGAAACUAAUCUUGAUUAAUUUGGAGUUGUUAACUCCAUAUAUAAACUAAAUAUUGAAUAAUGGUCUAAACCGAUAUAAAUCUAGACACAUUUUGGAUGCUACAGUGAUUGUUUAAUUUGAGCCUUAAAAUGAUAAAGUUUGGAGUUUGUUUCUCUACCAAAGUUAUAUGUAUGGAUGUUGUUGCUACCCAAUUUUUUACCUAUGUUUUGAUAAAUUUUCAGAAAAAUCUAAAAAUAGAGAAAAACAACGAAAAUCCAAAAAAUAUGUUUUUUAAUAUAUUUUCAUAAUUUUAGCAUUUUCAACGUCGUCUAAAAAAGAAUUUAAAAUUUUAAGGGUCUUUCGAACGCGUUCGACUUUUCACGCGUCAUUUUUAAAAUCAUUGAUUUUCCUCAUCGAGUUGACGUUAAUAUUGCUCGUUUUCAAAAAUAUACAAAAAAAUAAGAAAAAUAAAAAUUUACAAAAAAAAAAAGUCGAGGGAUCAAGUUGGGAGACCUAGCAACAUAUUUGCCUAUAAAUAGUAGUUUCCAACCCUUGUAUAAGGGGGGGCAAUUUUGAAAGAAAAAAAAUACAAAAAAAAAGAGGAAACCUAACCCUAAAAUACAGAAAAAUCAAUUUUGAAGUUAAAAGUGACCGAAUCUGUGCAGGGCCAAUUGAAUUGGUUGAUUGUUCCAAAAACUAAGUUAAGAGUUUUCUUGCUAUUGUGUUAAUUGUUUCCUUUUAGAUACCAUGUAUCAAAGAAGAAACAUGCCUAAGUCCAACAAUAUCGCUACUGUUUUGUCAAGUAGUAGUGCCGAAGCAAUAACAUUUGUGAUUGUGUUGUUAAUUCAGGUGACGAUCAUGAAGAGACACAUGAAGAGGCAUCUACCAUGGAAGUUACUGACCAAGGCUCGAACAAUGUGGACAACAGAGUUGGAAUCCCCUUUACCAGACAUUUUAUUAGGUAAAAUUAUUGUAGAAUGGAAGGAUGACCUCACUAUAUAAUUAAUGUUUUUUUUCUUUUUAAAUACUGAAGUCAUUUAUUUGUAUUUGGUUAUUUUAAGUUUUUCAUUAAAUUAAAAUGGCUUCAAUGAAUUGAUUUUCAGGUUUACCAAUAAUAAAGUUGUCGAUUCGAUCACAUCUACGAUGAAAUUAUCAUUCGAAGAACUAUUAUUUCAAUGGAGUCAGCUUCAUAAGCGUCUUGAAUAUAUGAAUAUUAUAGUAGCUUGGCGGAGAAAGUUUAAGAUUAGUUAAUGAUCUUUAAUUUGAGUUAAUAGUAUUUUAAAAUUUUAAAAUUAAUUAAUUUAUGAUUUUAAUAAAAGAAAAACAUUUACUGGACGAUAGCAAUGAGAUGUUGGUCAAGCAAAUAUGGGAAAACCACAAUGUAACUAGGAAAGUAUUAAUAUAAAAAAUGUUAUAUUAUAGUAAAUUUGAUUUUUUUUUUAAUUUCCUUACCCUAUUUUUGUUUAACAAAUUUUCAUAUUUGGUUAUGUGAUUUGUGGUAUGAUGUCCACAAACAAGCAAAUAAUGGAGCCAACCCUAUGAUGUAACAAUGUGAAAAAACUAUAGACCAAGGCACGUAACAAAGUGUAAUUGGGCACGUAACAAGAUUGCAUUUUGCAUCAGGACUCAAAAUAGAAAUAAAGAAACUUGUGAUUCGAUGAGCAAGCAUUUUGAAGGAGCGUUUUCAUUUAUGAACCAUGCAAAGCUUUUAGUAAGAGCUUGUUAUUAUUUAUAUUUUAUUAUUUUUCUUAUGAUUUUAAUUAAGUAUUUAUUUCUGAAACUGUUAAAACAAACUAUUUAAUUUGUGGGAGAAACAUCUUGGAAGUGAACCGACUCCAAUAAAGUAUACGAGGUAACUUAUAAAGAAGGGAUAUAAGGGAAAAAAAAUAAAUAUCGAUAAAAGAGCGAAAAUGUUCGUUGUAAGAGCUUUAUAUAUAUAUAUAUAUAUAUAUAUAGUUAUCAUUACAUUUCUAAUGUUUAUCAUCAUUAAUGUGAAUUUAGGAUUUUAAGGUUUUUUUAUUUGUUUUGUAUGAUAUAUCUAAAGCUUGCAUGAUUGAGAAAUUUGGUGAAGACACUUCUACUUAUCAUCAUCAUUUUUAAUUAUAGUUGUAGGUUAGUGUAAUUAAUGAACCUGAUAGAAAUCAUGUUUAUAGUAUGUGUAUAACAUCAAUUCAAGAAAUGAGAGCUAGUUGUACUGUUUUAAUUGUGGACACAUCAUUUUCCUUGCCAAGCUUGACAUCAUCGAACAUUGAUGAGUUAGUACAAAAAAAAGUUGUGAAAUAACAGUAUUUUUAGUUGCCUAGUUCGGAGGGAAAAAAAGAGCACUAUUCAAACAAGAAAUCAAGAUGUAUUGAGAGCAAUUUGGUGGAUAUAUAGCUUUACCAUUGCCUUUUCCUCGUGAGCCUUUUAGUUCAAGAUCUGUGAAAUCUUUAUUAUAAAAUUUUUGUUAUGGUGAUUCGUUUUUGUUGUGAUUGUGAUUUUAAAAUGAAAAAAAAAGAAGCAUUUGGGGUUAUAAUAACUAAACAAUAAAAGAAAAUUAGUGAAAUGCCAAUGAAAUUGUUGAUGGACAUGGGAUUUCAUUGGUAUAUUGUUAUAAAGUUUGCACAAAUCUCGUUGAAAAGUUACUUAAGGUUUGGACAUUUAUGAUAAAAUCUAUGUUCGACAAUUUUGUAAGCAUUUAAGGUGCUGAUGGAAAAAUAAACUGUAAAAACUUGUCUUUUUGCUCAGAUGUUCCAUCUGCAUUUUCAUCGGGAAUGAAAGUUGGUGAUGAAAAUGCCAACAAAAGAUAAAUCCUUAACUAGAAACUCACUAUUGAGAAGUUUUUAUAUGUACCAAACACUCAUGAAAAAGUAUUUUCAACGUCAUUUAAAAAAUAUUUAAAUUUUUAAGGGUUUUUCGAAUGCGUUCGAUUUUUCACGCUUCAUUUUUAAAAUCAUUGAUUUUCAUUAUCAAGUUGACAUUAAUAUCACUACAAGAUUUCACAGUUUUACCGACGGAAAUAUUCCGUCGGUGUCUGAUAGCACGUUCGUCAGUAAAGUAUUUACUAACGGAAUACGCCCGUCGGAAUACCUUUUGUCGGUGAUUCCACAUUCCGUCGCUAUAUCGGUCGGUAAUACAAAAAAAACAUUUACCGACGGAACGUGCGCGCCAAAAAAAAAAGUUUCCCGCUUGGAAUAUACCGACGGACUACCUCCGUCCGCAAAAGUGUCGGUGAUAUUUCAUACCGACCGAAUAAAUCCGUCUGUAAAUUCGUCGGUAUUUUUAUACCGACGGAUUAUUUCCGUCGGUGAUGGGAUGGAAUACCGCAGACACUGUCCAAUGCCGACGGAUUUAUUCCGUCGGUAAAUCCCUGUGUAAUUUUUUUUUUUUAAUUAUUUAGAAAAAAUAAUAUAAAUUAAUGGUAAUACAAACCAAUUAUGCAAAUAAAAUUUAUAUUAAGCAACAAAAACUCAAAGUUAAAUAAUAUUAAUUACAAAAUGAAUGUUUUUUUAAAAAAACAAUUAAUAUAAAGGUGGAGGAGGAGGAGGAGGAGGGUGGGGGUUAGGCGGCCAAAAAGGAUUAGGCGCACAUGUUCCACCUUGUGUCAUGUUCAUGACCAUUUGACGAAGCUCUUCAUAGGCCGCUCUUUGUUGUUCAGACUCUGCUCUGCGUUGUUCGUUCGCCAAUCUGUGUUGUUCGUUCGCCAAUCUUUGCUCUGCUUUGAGUUGUGUGUACGCCUCUGAUAGGUGGUCGCACCUUUGCUGCAAGGCCACAAACUCCUUAGAUUGGGAGCUCGAUACAGAUUGGGAGCUCCCACGGUUGAAGCAGUACCGGUCGACCGCAACUUGGCAGCGGUAGUGUUGGAGAGCCCGUAAACCCGAUUUUUAUCGGGUCCACCUGACGAUCCAGCCUCCAUCCACAAAUCCGGAUCGAAUUCCGGAUGGGUCGAAGGAUCAUCCCCGUAUCUCUCCCUCAACCGAUUAUUAUAGGUCUCCUGAAAAAAAAAAUCAUAUUCAAUUCAAUAAACAUUAUAAUAACUUAUAAAAUAAAAUGGUUGAACAAACAUACCACAAACUGUUGAGCACGGUUGUUAACGAACUGUUGCGUCCCCUUUUGGCGGUCAUGACUUCGCACGUGCGUCUCCACAAACAGCUCCAUAGGGCUCGACUCACGUCCAAGAGACGUAGCCUAUAUAUAAUGAAAAAAAUGUAUUAACAACAAAUUAAUUGAACGAUAUAUUUCAUUUAAAUUAAUCUUACCAUCCGUUUCGCAUGUGCAGCAAACGGAACGGAGCCGCCGGUGUGCGUUGUAACCGAGCCAUGAAUUGGCCGAUUCCGGUUGCCGGCACCGGACUGUGAGCGUCGAGUGAACCGCUCAGACGUCACAUGCUGAAGAUAGUGCGGCCAUAUAUCUUCUGAGAUGUAUAUUGGUUUGAAAUCCCUCCAAACCCCUUAUCCCUCGCUGUUUUUUUUGCUUUUUUCUGGGCGUCAUACCAAAAAUCACGCAACCUAAUUCACGCACGAAAAAAUUACAUUUCGAAACAUAAAUAAUUAUGUAAAAAAAAGUCAUAUUGUUUUCGAUGUUACCUAAUUGCCGCGUGAUUUUCCCAUACCCUCCUCACAACAGUGUCAUGUUCAUCGUCCCAGCAGAAUCGAUGUUGUAUAUAAAAAAAUAAUUUUUUAAAAUGUUAAUAAUUUAUUUACAAUUAUAACUUGAAUUGAUUAGAAAUAAGCUGAAAAUUAUAUAUUAACACGAACCUCAAAUCUACGAAACCAUGCAUUGAUUUGAGGCAUCCAUUCAGGAUGUCUGGAUAUCUAACUCCAUUGAAACAAUGGAAUCUCCAUCGACGCUUUAAACGCCGAUGAUAUUAAUCGAGCGGCCUCAAUGUUUGUGAACCUGAAAAGAAAUGAAAUUAAUUUGUGAUUACUUCAUAAAUUAUGUUUUAAAUUUGUUUUUUUUUAUAUAAAAAAAACUAAAACCUUAACAAACUUACAUUGAAAGAUCUUCCUUCCACUGUGCCUCGAACUGGCGGGUAAAUUGAUUCCGCUUCGAACGCACGCCGCGUCUGCGAUGUGAAACAUCACUGGAAGAGACAGCAUCGGUUGACGGCGCAGGUGGUCAACGCUGCUAGACGAACUUGAUUCGACUAGACGCGAACGACCAGCUCUGGUUUUCAUUUUGCAUAUCUAAACAAUUUUAUAUUAAUAAUUGUAUAAUAAAAUUCAAAAGUUAAAAAAAUAUCGGCAGCACCUCCCCUAUACUGGAUACUACCCAAAUCCACAAACCUGCAAAUAUUAACAAUAGCCACAACCAAUCGAACCAAUCUAUACUAAUUAUUCCAACAUAUUCAACUAUUAAUCCUAAGAUAAAUUCAACGUUAACAAUUACAAUUCACAAAUUAAUCAAUCAUUAUAUUCAAAACAAUAAAAAAUAUGACAAAAAAUAAAUUCAAUAAAUUCAACAAAUUAUAAUUCAACAAAUUAAUCAUUUUAAUUCAACAUUAACAAUUAUAAUUCAACAAAUUAAUCAAUAAUUAUAUUCAAAACAAUAAAAAAUAUGACAAAAAAUAAAUUCAAUAAAUUCAACAAAUUAUAAUUCAACAAAUUAAUCAUUACAAUUCAACAUUAACAAUUAUAAUUCAACAAAUUAAUCAAUAAUUAUAUUCAAAACAAUCAAAAAUAUGACAAAAAAUAAAUUCAAUAAAUUCAACAAAUUAUACUUCAACAAAUUAAUCAUUAUAAUUCAACAUUAACAAUUAUAAUUCAACAAAUUAAUCAUUAUAAUUAUGUCAACAAAACAAUAAAAAAUAUUCAAAAAAUUCAAAAAAAAAACCUACAUCAAUAAAAGGAACGAAAUAUACAUAUCUUAAUAAUGUGACAAAUUCAAAACUUUAUCUACAUUACCAAAAAAAACACCAAAACAACAAAAUAACAAAAAUAAAAACAACUAAAAAUAAAUUAAAAGUAAAUAAAUUAAAUUGGAAAUCGAUAAUUAUUCCAACAAACGCAAUUAUUAAUUCUAAGGUAAAUUCAACAUUAACAAUAUUAAUUCAAUAAAUUAAUCAAUAAUUAUAUAGGCAAUACAACAAUAAAUUAUAUUCAAUAAAUUAAAAAAAAAUAUAGACUAACAAUUAAAUUAACAAAUAUUCAACAAAUUCAAAAAAUUCAAAAAAAAUCAAAUAUUCAACUUUAACUAAUUCUAAGUUAAAUUAACUAAUAACAAUUCUAACAACACAACAACAAAAAAUAUUCAAAAAAUUCAAAAAAUAAAACCUACAUCAAGAAAAGGAACCAAAUAUACAUACCUUAAUAAUGUGUCAAAUUCAAAACUUUAUCUACAUUGCAACAAAAAACACCAAAACAACAAAUAUCUCACCGUUCGAAUGGGUACAUCCAUCUAUACUGGACCGGUCCUCCAGCUUUUGCCUCGAACGGUAGAUGUAUAGGGAGAUGCUCCAUUGAGUCAAAAAAUGAAGGAGGGAAUAUCAUCUCAAGUUUGCAUAGUGUCUCGAUGAUAUUCGUUUGAAGCAUCUCAAUAUGCUCAACAUUCAUCUUGCUGGAGCAUAUAUCUCUGAAGAAAUGACUGAUCUCCGUUAGUGCAUCCCAUAUUCCCUUUGGCAACAAAUCACGAAAAGCUAACGGGAUGAGUGUUUGCAUAAACACGUGGCAGUCAUGGCUCUUCAUUCCAUACAAUCUACAGUCCUCUAUGUUAACAAGCCUUGAUAUGUUCGAUGCAUGUCCAUCCGGGAAACGCAGACUCUUAAGCCAUUUGUAGACUAGCAGUUGUGCGUUUUUCUCUAACACGAAGCUUGCCUUUGGUUUUGCAACCCGUGACUCGUCAUAAACCAACUCCAUAUUUUUACGGUUAUAGUAUAAAGCUAUAUCCAAUCUAGCCUUCAUGUUGUCCUUUGUCUUCCCCUUCACAUCCAUGACGGUGUUGAAAAUAUUCUCAAACACGUUCUUUUCGAUGUGCAUGACAUCAAGGUUAUGGCGGAGAAGAUUAGUCUUCCAAUACGGAAGCUCCCAAAAGAUACUUCGCUUUACCCAAUUAUGGGUUAAACCAAAACCAGGAAACUUUUGCUUACCUGAUUGAAGGCCAAACACAAUGUCACCGUACUCUGAUACAACAUGAUGCAAUUCUUCACCAGAAAGACGCGGGGAUGCAACAUCUUUUUCAACUCUACCAACAAAGAAAUCUUUUCUGUUCUUUCUGAACCUGUGAUUAAGUGGCAAGAAGCGACGGUGACAGUCAAAAAAAGAAGCUUUACCUCCGUUUGCUAGCGUGAAUGCCUUGUUGUUUUCCAUGCAGUAUGGACAUGCGAGUUUCCCAUGCGUGCUCCAACCAGAAAGCAUUCCAUAAGCUGGAAAAUCACUGAUAGUCCACAUCAAAGCCGCCCUCAUAAGGAAAUUUUGUUUCCUCGAUAUAUCAUAAGUCAGAGAUCCGGAGGACCACAACUGCGCCAGCUCAUCUAUCAACGGUCGAAGACAAACAUCUAUAUUCCGCCCCGGGCUGCUUGGACCGGGUAUGACAGUAGAUAGAAACAUGAACUCCGGCCUCAUACACAUUCCCGGUGGCAAGUUAUAAACUGUGAGAAUGACCGGCCAACAAGAAUAGGGAGCAGCAAAUGACCCAAAUGGGUUGAACCCGUCUGUACACAACCCAAGUCGAACAUUCCUUGAUUCAGCAGAAAAGUCAGGAUGAACACUGUUAAAGCGUUUCCACGCUUCGCCGUCAGAAGGAUGCACCCAUCACACCAUCAACGACAUCGUGUGUUUGGUGCCAUGUCAUGUGCUCAGCAGUCCUUGGUGACAUAAAUAACCUCUGCAGUCUAGGUGUGAUCGGGAAAUAUCUAAGUUUUUUAUAUGCCACUAGAGUCUUCCCCCUGCCAGUUCUGGGUUUGUAACGGGAAUGCCCGCAUGUCAUGCACUCGGUCAUCUCAGCAUUUUCAAGGUAGUAUAACAUGCAGAAGUUAGGGCACAUGUCAAUUUUCUGGUAUCCUAAACCGAGGGGUUUCAUCAUGGACUUCGCAGCAUAGAAGUUCUCUUUGAGCCUGUUCCCUUCAGGUAAAAUGCUUCUUGCCCAAUCAAUAAUUUUGUCAUACCCGGCCUCACUCAACCCGUGAUCUGACUUGAUGGUGAACACCUGUGCCACAGCCGAUAAUUUACUGUGGUUUGUGCAGCCAUCCCAUAAUGGUUCGUCAGAAUCUUUCAACAAAUCAAAAAACCUAGCUGCCUCUGCAUUAGGUUCUUCUUCUACGAUUGGACAUUGAUUGACAUUAUCUUGAUUCAUUCUCAUUGCAUCCAUAACCAUGUUUCUGUAAGGAUUAGUGUUGUCAUUUGCCGCUUCAUGCACGUUGCUAGCACUAGAAGUUGACCCAACCACCGUUUCUCCCAUUCUCCUAUUACUAACAAAUACCUCUCCAUGUGCAUACCAACACUCGUAAUCCUCCACAAACCCUUUGUGUAGAAGAUGCAUCAUUACAACAUCUGGAUGCAGAUACUUUUUAUUUUGACACUUCCUGCAUGGACACCUAAUACCGCCUCCAGUAAAAUUUCUGGGAAUAGAUGUUGCGAAAUUAAUAAAACCCUGAACCCCGUUACAAUAAUCCAUCCUCCGCAAUCCUUGGGGUGAAUCUAGAUACAUCCAUGAACGAUCAUCCAUGACUUCUAUCGAACCUCUAUAAAAAGGACCCAUUAAGCAAGCUCUUAAUUAUUUCAAAACAUAACAUGUAAUUCGGUAAUUCUACAAAUUAAGUUUUAACAAUUUUCAAACAAAUACAAUCUUACAAAAUCUAAAACAAACCAUAACAAGUAUAAAAUUAUACAUUCAUAUACUACAAGUUUGUUUGAGAAAUAACAAUAAAACAUGUACAUCUACUAAAAAAAAAUACAUGUACUAAAAAAACAAUAAAAUUGACAUUUAAAUGUUAAAAUUUUAAAAGAUAGAAUUACUUGCAAAAAAUGAUAAAAUCCAUCGGUAAAUCAGAACACCGAUGUUGUGACCACAAAACUUCAAGAAAUACAACUUGUUGUGCUGAGAUGAGGAAGAUUUUUGUUUUGGGGCGAGGGGGGGCUGGUUAUUUUGCAGAUGGGGAGGGUUAGGAUUAGGAAGAAGAAGGAGAAAUGGGGGAGGAGAGAGUGUUGGCAGAGUGGCCAUAUAUUCACUUUUGCCGACGGACUUGCCGACGGUUUUGAUUCCAUCGGUGAAUACGUCGGCGAAACCGUCGAUAAUUCGGACGGGCAAUCGACACGUCACCGCACGGACCUGCUAUUCAAAUCCCUCGGUGAUUCCGUCGGUAUUUUUAACUGUGCACCGGUCACGUCACCGGUACGGAUCUGGCAUUUCAAAUCCGUCGGUAUGUCUGUUGGUAUUUAGCAAAUUUCUGGUGGUGUGUUGGUUGUUUUCAAAAAUAUACAAAAAAAUAAGAAAAAUCAAAAUUUACAAAAAAAAAAAGUUGAGGGACCAAGUUGGGAGACCUAGCAACAUAUUUGUCUAUAAAUAGUAGUUUCCAACCCUUGCAUAAGGGAGGGCAAUUUUAAAAGAAAAAAAAUACAAAAAUUAGAGGAAACCUAACCCUAAAAAUACAAAAUUUCCUAGUCUUUCUGAGCUUACUUUAUGGAAUUGUCCCAAGUUGCUUGGCAAGUUCCCUAGCUGUCUUCCUUCUUGUGUAAAGAUUACGAUUGCAAAAUGCCCAAUUUUGGUUGAUUCAGACGAAAAGCUUCCAGUGCAUAGUGAACUGAAAUUAGAAGAAUGUGAUGAGGUCACACCUAAAUGCAUAUUUCAUAACUCGUCCCUAAUCACAUUGAAACUUGGGAGUAUGUCAAGGCUUACUUGUUUGAAGGGCCAGUUUCUGCGGUCACUGGGACUUAAAGUUCUGAUGAUUUCUGAUUUCCCCAAACUAACCUCUUUGUGGCAAAAAGGAACUGAAUUAGAAAAUUUUGAACAUCCUCAAUUUGUGUCAUUGACAGAGAUUGGUAUGCCCAGCACUCAUAAAAGUUCAAAAUUGUCUUCUGCCAAUCCAAAGGGUGCACAUGCUUUUGUCUCUUGAGGUUCUGUGCAUUGAAUCAUUUCCAGAUCUUGUGUCCAUUCCUGAAGCUGCACUUUUAUCGUCACUGAGACAUCUAGUACUUUCUCCAUCAUGGCUGCUAUUUCCAGUCGCCAUCUAGAGGUGUUAUCAGAUGACGAUUGUCUUUCAGUGUUUUUAGAUCAUGCAUCGCCAGAACUGAAGUUCGACGCAGAUCCGAAGCAGCAAGCAAUAGUGGCAAAAAUAGCAAGCAAAUGUAGAGGCUUACCACAGGCUGCAAAAUAUCCGGGGGGAGGACUGCGCUCUGCCUCACUGUACUCAAUGGGAGAAGAUAUAUAUAUAUAUAUAUCGAAUUGUGAGAUAUAUAUAUUUGAGGAUGAGUGGCAGGGACUGACAAGAUUAAUUAAUAACACGAUAAUUAAGAAUGCAUGUUUAUCCAGCCAAUCUCUCAAAGGAGAUGUUCGAGAGUUCUUUUUGUUGGGCGGAAUCCGGGACCGGUGAUGUACUAAUCUUUGCUCAUAGGAGGGGUAAGCACACUGAGACAAUAUUUAACGUGGUUCGGCAAAUUGCCUACAUUCAUGGGAGAGAUCGAUAUUAUUAGAGAUAGAGAAAGAAUACAACACAUGGAGGAGGAUCAUAUCCACUCAACUCUCAUCUCUCAUUGCUACAUAGGGCAGCAGCUGCAUAAGGCAGCAAGGCUGCUGGUGGCAGCCCUUCUCUUUCUUUCUCUCUUCUUCUCUCUUUUGUAGCUCUCCUACAAGACUCUCUCUCUCAUUUUGUGCUGCACUCUUGGUGUCUAUUUAUAAGCUUUAAUGACAGCUCCUCUUACUUCUUUGUCAUCAAUGGUGGCUGCCAAACUUACGAAACUUUGACAUUAGACAAUGGUUGUUGGCUGCCACCAACAACCCACCAUUAUAGCCUCCUUCUUUAACAAUGUCAAGGGGCUGCAAAUGUUGUACCAGCAGCCCUCUUUGACUCUCAUAUGACAGCCAUCUUCUUUGACAAUGGCAACAUAAUUGGCAAUAUUCCAACACUUUUGCUCAUGUUUUUUUCUGCGUUUUUUAAAAAUAUUUGUAGUUUGAAAAAACAUAAAGCUAAUGUCUUUUAUUGUUUUAUAAUAAUUUUAAUAUACUAAUAUAUAUAUAAAAAAGAAACUGAAAAAAGAUAAUUUUAUUUUCUGAUAUUUUAUAUAUAAACUUUGCCUAGUGGCGGAGCCACAUAGUAUACUAUGAGGGCAAUUGCCCCCUUAAUUGUUUUUGAAUAAUAGGUAAUUUAAUUGUUUUGAAUUAAUUAAAAGUUAUAUUAUUUUUAAUUGAAUUAAUAAAGAUAUGGAAUUAAACUUUUUUAUAAGAUCGAUGAAUAAGUAAAUAUUUUAAUUAUUGUUAGUGAAUAAAAAUUGAUAUUUGCAAAAUUAAAAAUUGGUUUAAAAAAAAAAGAAAAAAAAUUAUUUUUUUGUUUUUAAAAAUGAUUUAUCAUGAUAAAUUUAAAUUAUUAAUGUUGAUCCAUAUCCAUGCAUUAUAUACAGCAUGUUAUAUGGCAAUGGGUGUGUGAAAUGAGUUGUGAUGAAUUAAUGUGUAUUUUAUCAUAAAUUUUAUAUGGAAGAUUUACAAUUAUUAUAUAACUGAAUUUAAUUUUGUUAUUAUGAAAACUUAAAGAGAAUGAUUAUAAUAUAAGUUUUUUUAUGUUAAAAGUAUUUUAAAAUUAAUUUUGUUUUAUAUGAAUUGAAAUUUUUAUUUUGAAUUAAUUUUUAAUGCAUAUCUAUAUAAUAUAUUUGCCCCCUCAUUUAAAAUAUUCUUACUCCGCCACUGACUUUGCCAUUAAUUCAAUCACUGACCGGAAAUCUUGUGCUCCACGGUGAGUUGUUUGGACGAAUGAUCAGUUAAUCAAGUGAAUUGAGAUAUUCAAUACGGAUGAUUAAAGUUUAAGAGAAAUCUAUCAACAUAUUCUCAUAGAUUGCACCAUCACAUUCUUAUAAAUAUAAGAAAUAAUUAAUUAUAUCUUUUAAUUUGUUCCUGUUAUUCAACAUAAAACUCUGCUAAUUAUUUUCACUAAAAAUGAUAACAACAUGUCAUGCAUAUACAUGAAUAAUUAUUUAACAUAUGACUCUGCUAAUUAUUGAAACUAUAUCUUUGACCUCACAAUCAUUAGUUUUAAUGAAAACAUAUAAUUGAUAGAAUAUAUAUAUAUAUAUAUAUAUAUCAAAACCCCAUGGUUAUGGUUUUUGAAAGAACCUGGGCAUUAACCUCUCGAAUAAUAAAUAAAUGAAGGAAGAAUUGAUACAGAAAGAUUGGCUGGGAUAGAUAUCGGAUUAAUAGGAGCAUUGCGUACAUAGUAGCUUGACUGUUAAGGAAUCUCAAGCUAUUCAAUGGCAGAAAUAUUAAAAUCUCAACAGAAUGCUUUUCAACUAAGUAACAGGCAAAUUCAACGUCAACCACUCAGACUCGGACGAGUCUGGAAGCAAGACGCGAUCUGGCGAAAAUGAAGAAAUCAAUCGAACCGCAUCCCGCGAGCUCUCAACGAUGAUACAUAUUGUGCUAGUUCAGCUCACUGAUUGAAGUUUCUUACCUCCAUGCAUGGAAGUUUCCACAUGCUGACAAGUCAAAGCAGAAUAGUUGCAGUAAAUCUAUCACACUGGACCUUUGGCUACUCUUUGGUAUAUAUAUCAAGAUUAAUUUUCAUUUAUGUUCCAAUUGUUUUGGAAAAAAAACAUUUGUACCUUUCCAACAAUAUAUGGUAGGCUCUCUAAUUCACACGUUUAAGAGAGAUAAUGUGUUUGAAGUUGAGUCUGAAAUCAGAAUUUGGGCUGUAAAUUCAAAUACUGUUUAGUGGACUCUCCUAACAUAUGUUCCUAUAUUGGGUUAAAAUUUCAGGAUAAUAGGAGUUUAUGGCCUUACAAUUAGGUUGGCGGCCAAAUGUGUUACCCAAAAACACAAGAAAAAUAUUAUGAGGGGUAAAAUGAUAAAAUAAGCAAAAUUUCUCUUUAUAAACAAGAAAAGGCUGGUGAAGAGUUCCAGAAGCUAGGGAGAACGAAAAGCCCUCCAUUCCUUAUUAAUUUUUGAAUGGUUUCUUAUUAAUUGAGAGAUUCUUAUGAGGAUUAAUCAUUUUUUUGAAAAAUAAACAUGAUAUAAAUGAGUUUUGGAGUGAGAAACCAAGAAAAGAAGAUGAAUAUAUAGAGAGGGAAAGUGAGAAAUCUUUGUACGGUGCCUAAGCUACUGGUGUAGUUCCAGGCAGUGUUUCUAUCGAAACUUGUACUUCUCUCUCAGGUGGUAACCCGGGUAAUUCCUUUGGAAAUACAUCUGGAAACUCUCUUACUAUAGGUAUUUUAUCUAACUCCAUUUCUUUCUUUUCCAAAUCUACUACAUAGGCAAGAUAAGCUGUACAUCCCUUUCUUAAUAGUUUCCUAGCUGUCAUGACCGAAAUUAUACUAUUUGGUAUGAUGUUCCUCUCUCCUCUAAACUCUACCCUCCUACCACCCUCAUCUUGGAGAGUUACUGUUUUAGUAAAACAAUCAAUUUGGGCUCUGUAUGUUACUAGCCAAUCCAUUCCUAAAAUCAUCUCAAAAUCGUAUAGGUCUAGUGGUAAUAAAUCUACCCUCGCACAUCUUCCUGAGUCAUACGAAAAACUCUCCCUUGAGCUCCCCCUCCUGGUACUCGAGGUCGACCUCGAACAGCACUAGUCCCAGACUGUGCAGGUCUACCCGGCUUGUUCACGGUCACAGACUGUUGCUGACUCUGUAUUGAAAAUCUCUGUCUCUGUGUCUGCCCUAUAGUCCUCUAGGGACACUCCCUCCUACGAUGUCCUGGCUCUCCACAAUGAUAACAUGCAGCAUCUAGAUAGGGGCAAUCCCUCCAUCUAUGUUCCUGUCUGCAUAUAUAACAUCUGCCAGAUGUGACCGAACAAUCUCCAGGAUGUUUACGCUCGCAUCUCACACAUAGGGGAUAAGUAGUCAUCCUGGAGCCUUCUGCAACUCCUUCUGGUAAACUAGUCUGUGGGCGUGGCCACCCUCCCUGUGAGCUCUGCAUAGGUCUACUCGAUGUACCCUCUGAUCCCAGAUUUCCUCCCUUCUUUCCAAACUGACCAAAAUGUCCUCCUUUUCCCUUUUUUGAAAAAGGAGGUCUCCUUGUAAAUGAUGCAGGCUCCUUACGCUUUUCUGCUCCCAUAGUACCCUGUCCAUCACCUUAUCGCCGCCCUGCGGCUGCCACGGCAACUAGAGAGUGAGCGGCCUCUAUAAAAUCUGUCACUGUCAGAAACUGCAAGGCAGCCAAUCCCAUCCUCAGCUCCUGUCGGAGUCCAUCUCGGAGUCUCUUUAUUCGAUGCUGCUCAGUCGAUAAAUAAACAGAAGCAAACAUAGAGAGGUCCUGAAACCGCCUCUCAUAUUCCAAUACUGUCAUGUCUCCCUGAGUAAGAGCCAAGAACUCCUGUUCUUUGAUCUUCCGAUGCUGUCAGGAAUAAUACUGGUUCUCAAACUCUGUCUUGAAAUCCCUCCAUCUAAGCGUCUCAGUAGCCCGUCUCUCUUUAACAAUAUCCCACCAUGUCUGGGCUCUGUCCGAUAAUAACUGAGUAGCACAAUCCACUUGGAGCUCUGCUGGUACUGCUAUUUGAUCCAUAGACCUCUCUAUCUUUCGUAACCAUCGCCCGGCUAUCUCAGCAUCCUCCUCUCCUAUAAAUGCCUCACAACCUAAUUCUCUUAGACUCUUUACCCAUCGAACUAAGGUGACCACAUUAUCCCUAGGGGUAGUACUCAAUGGUCCCGCCAUCUCUGUCAUCACUGCACGAACCAACUGUGCAAUAUAAGCUGGAUCUAGAUAUGGUGGAGGUGCUACCCCAGGGGGUGCCGCUGGUGCUACUGUUGGUGGGGGAUGAGUCCCCUGCCCAUCCCCCUUAAAUAUCCCCCGCUCAUCUCGGAGUCCAGAUGACUCUCCUUGUCCGGAUUGCACCGACCCGGCUGGCACAAAAGAUGCUGUAUCUACCAGAGGAUCUUUCUAUAUUCCUCUAUCUCCUGUCUCAACUAGACGCUCGUCCCUCACGGGUGACAAGUCAGCUCUGGCUUCUUGCCGUGUACGCACCAUCCUGAAACAAUAUUCUUUUGCAUUAAUAAUGGUCUCCUGAACUUUAACCAUGCUCUGAUACCAAAUGUAACAGUCUCAAAUCAUAAUGUCAUGAAAUCUCCAAACAUUUAUUUACCAAUGUCAAGUAUUGGGUAAUAUGUCUAAAUUUAUGGGAUUUUAAAAAAAAAAAAAAUUUCGGCAGAGUUUCCUCUGUUUUUGUUGGUACCAAGUUAUCGACAACACUUCUUAUAUAUAUCAUUAUGACUUCCAUCUUGAUCCAAUCAUCCUGGAUCACAUUCCAAUCAUCAAACAAUAACGCAAUACUUAUACUUAUCAAUUAAUAAUCAAAAUAAAUGUACUCCCAAAGCAACCCAAAGGAUAAACAAAUUCAUCACAAACAUAAUAAAUGCUAACUAACUACAUAAAUACAACAUUAAGAUUAAGAGUCAUAUUAUGUUUAUAAUAAAUCUUAUCUUAUCAUUUUGAAAAUGAUUUGAUCAUACUAAUAACUAUACAUAUAUAUAAUACAUCCACUACCUAUUACACCUUCUACUUGAUUUUUGCAUCACAAAAGGAUUUACAUUGAAAGUAAAGACAUGAAUAUUACAUUCCAAAAUGGUAAUUCAUAAACAGGAGAAUUCCUACAUCUAACGAUCUGCAUCACCUUGUGGCAUACCUGUUUCAACAACAACCAUAUUAAUUAACUUUCUCAUUAUAUUAAUCUAAUAUUAAAUAAUUACUCUUAACCUUUGAAAUUUAGUAUUUCUACUUCAAUCUAACUUACUCCUAUAAUUUACAUAAUCUUUUUAGGACUUAAAAAUCCAACUAAUUCCUCUUAAUUACCAAAUACAUCUAACACUUCCAUAUAGAUACCCAAAAUUCAUUUUUUUUUCCUUCCUCGGUUACCAAUAGACCUAGUAAUUCCAUUUGAAUUACUUAUCAUCCAGCUAACCUCUUUUGUUAGCCAAUCAAUCCGGUAAUUCCAUAUGAAUUACUCCUUAUCCAGUUAACCUCUUUGUUAACCAAUAAACCCGGUAAUUCUCUUUAUUACCCAAAAAUCCGACUAACCCAUUUCGGUUAGCAAAAUCAAUCCGGUAAUUCCAUAUGAAUCACCCAGUAUCCAGCUAAUCUCUUUUGUUAGCCAAUCAAUCUGGUAAUUCCAUUUGAAUUACCUAGCAUCCGGUUAAUCUCUAGUAUUAGUCAAACAAUCCGGUAAUUCCAUACGAAUUACCCCAUAUCCGGUUAACCUCUUUGUUAACCAAUAAAACCGGUAAUUUCACAUAAUCAUAACUCCAAUUUAUUCAUUUGCUCCAUUCAUUUAAUAUCAAUUAAAUAAGCAAUAUAGAUAAUUAGGAAAACUAAAAAUUACAAAAAGAGGUGACGAAUUCACCUACCUUCUGUUCGGGAUGACCCAGCUCCUCCUGUCUGAUAACCAGCUCCCGACACAGCUCCUGAAUCAAUCAAGUGUCAUUAUAUCAUUAGUCCAUCAAUAUUUUUUUCUUAUGUGCCGAAACAUAAAGCGCAUAAUAUUUUUAUUUGUAAUUUGUUGUAAUAAAAAUUCAUUCUCAAAUAUAACAUCAUUAUUUUACAUACAACCUCAUAUUUAACUCAAGUUACUUCUUUGUUUUCUCUAUGUUCAUAAUUCCUCCAUCAAAUAAUUCUUCUAUUCUUUAUACCCUCACAUCAUAUUAUUUAUUUUAUUUAAAUACUAUAUUCAAACACAAUCUAGGCAUUUUGUCUUCAUAUUUUCUUUUAACUAGUUUAUUUCUCUUUUAAUUUGAAUUUACAUAUUAUUAUUAUUAUUAUUAUUUUCUCAACUUAAAUGCUAUCUCUUCAUUUAGUCUUUCUUACAUUUUCAUUUAUCAUGAUUCAACAUGGUUUUUUUUCUAAACAUUAACAUCAAAACUCAUUCUCCCAUUUUUAUUUUUAUUUUCCUUCAUUGGCCGAAUGUGAUGUUUCUUUUUCCUCCACCAAAUCUUUCUUCAUUUACUUGUUAUUUCAACUUGUUUUCAUUCUAUUUCUCUUCAAUUUCAUCAUUUUCCCUUCCCCUCCUAAUUCCCCCAAAUUCACAUAAGAACCCUAAGUUCAAUAAUCUAGGAUUUAAGGGAAACUAAGGUAAAGUUCCAUGAAAUUACUUCCUAAUUUAAUCAAAUAAGCUUAGGAAAAACAACUAAAUCAACAUUAAAUCCAAACUUCUCAUGCUUACCUAUUGUUUUUCUUCCAAUUUCUCUUCUCUUCCAAGGUUAGCUGAAUUCCCCUUCUCAAAUCCUCCUUCCUUCACUUGAUUUAGUGUUUUAUAGGUUUAACUUGCAAGUUUAUAAAGUUAUUCUCUCAAUUUCCUUAUUGUUUUAACUUACUUUUCUCUCUAUCUCUCACGUUAUGCUCUGUUUUUCUUUUCAUCUUUUUGUUUCUGCCCAUUCGGCAGUUAAUAAAAGAGAAGGAGGGCUUAUAUAUUUUCUUUUCAAUGGCAAAUAACUAUUCUACCCCUAAUGAGUAUUUUUGCCACUAUUUGACGGUCCUUAUUUGUUUGCUAGCACUACCGAGCUCCAUUCAUCUUAAAAUUUUAAACAGGUUUUAUUCAGUAUAUUUUAAGGUUUCUCAUAAAAUUUUGGCUCAAUCCGAUAGUCGGAUUAAAAAUUACUUCCAAUAACGUAAAACUAGUUGAAUUGUGAUUUUUCGUCAAAUUUCUGAAUUUCUCUAAAAAUUCUGAAAUUUUAACCCAAGCUAAGGCAUGAUAUUAUAACACUCCACACAAAUUUUCAUAAUUUUCUGAUCACCCAAUCAAGAGUUACGAAUUAUUUUGUUUUACCUAAAACUAGUCAAUUUAUGAUUUUUCGUCAAAUUUCCGAAUUUCUCUACAAAUUCUGAAAUUUUAACCCAAUAUAAGGCAUGAUAUUAGAACCCUCCACGCAAAUGUUCAGAAUUUUCUGAUCACCCAAUCAAGAGUUACGAAUUAUUUUGUUUUACCUAAAACUAGUCAAUUUAUGAUUUUUCGUCAAAUUUCUGAAUUUCUCUAAAACUUCUGAAAUUUUAACCCAAUAUAAGGCAUGAUAUUAGAACGCUCCACGCAAAUUUUCAGAAUUUUCUUAUCACCCAAUCAAGAGUUACGAAUUAUUUUGUUUUACCUAAAACUAGUUAAUUUAUUAUUUUUCACCUGGAGGUUUUACAAUAAGUAUAAAAUGGAUGUGUUUAAGUUUCAGUUUGAUUGAAUGAUUAAUUUUUGUUGUUAAACUUUGAUAAAAAUUUGUUUUUGUAUGUAUCUAAGAGUGGGUAAUUUGAAAUUAUAGGAAAAGUUAAAGGAAAAUCCAUGGCUUUAAUCCAUGAUGCAUUAGGCAAAAAAUAAAUACUUGAAGGGUUUGGUUUUUGUUGAUUGAUUUGACAUGUUUUAGUUGUUUUGGGAUGGAAUCCAUGUUAAAAGCUGAAGUGACAGUCAUGGCUAUACUAUGGAGGAUAUUCAACAAAAAUAGAAAAUGAUGGAGGGAUUUUGAAUGAUUGUUGUGAUGAACUAUAGUUAAGCUUGAAAUGAUAAAGUGUCUAUAAUGUGGUAUGUUUGUACUUGAAUAUUAAUAUGUAUAAAACUAGUUACCUAGUAAUGAGUUAGUGACAUUAGUUCGGUUGAUACAAGAUGGUUUAAUAAGAACAUAAAAUUGAUUGAAAAGAUGAAUUAACUAUCUAUAAUGGAGCCAAUGGCGUCAGUUGCAUUAAUGACUAGGAUAUACAUAAUUUGGCUAGUGGUCUUGUGGUUAACAAAUAAUAUGUGUUAGCAGCUCACCAAAUUAGUAAUGAAAUGUUUGAAGAAGCCAAAUUGUCAAUAGCAAAACAAUAAUAUUCCAAGGACUUCAAUGAUCCAUGUCUAGCGAGUAUUUUAAAACGUGUUUUAAAAGUUUAGAUAGUUACACGAAGUUACUUGUGUGACGAUGAUAUCAGAAUUCAUGACCAAUUUUAUGUUGUAAAUGGCUAGAUGAAAUUUGGAUAGGGUUUGUAUAAAAAAAGCUCACCUGAAAUUUUAUUAAUCGGGAAGGUUUCCAUUGGAGACCAUAAGUCAAAGUAAAAUGGCUGGAUGAAAUUUGGAUAAGGUUUGUAUAAAAGAAGCUCAACCGAAAUUUCAUUAGCCAGGAAGGUUUCCAUUGGAAAUCAUAAGUCGAAGUAAAAUGCUAGCCUUAGAUCUUUUGAAAAUGAGUCAAAAUAGUGUAAAGAAUAAUAACAUGGGUCACAUGAAAAAGGAAAUGAGACAAGGUACCAAUAAUUAUAGAUUUUGAGAGAUCAAACUAAGCAAUUAGUCGUGCAAGAAGUUUUUAAUGGCAAAUCACCUGUUAGGAGAACACAUGAAUUUGAUUGAAAUAAUUUGAAUAUUAAAAAAACAAAAAAGGGAUAAGUAUCUUUCAAAAUGAAAUGUGACACAAUUUAAAAGUAUUACAAAUUGAAACAAUGGUGCGAACCAGAUAUGAUUACAAGAAACAUGUUAAAUUUAAAUGUAAUAUGAAUUGAAAUAAUGGUGUGAACAAAAUAUAAUCGUGAAAUAUGCAUAUAUAAUUGUAUGAAUUAUAGGGGUUUUGAGGAAAUGAUUUAUAAUAUGAAUCAAAUAUGUUGUGAAUAAGAGUUUCCAUGAUAUGACAAUGACAAUUAAACGAAAACAAUGAUAGAAUAGAAGUUCAUCAAAAGAUGAAAGAAACUAUAUUAAAGUGGAAUCUAUCAUAGAUUGAUGUUUAUACAAAAACUUAGUGAAAUUUAGGUAUAUUAAUGUCAUUGAUAUGUGUGUGUGUUUGUUUAGUAAGUAUUUGUUAUAAUAAGUUCUUAUUUUAUAAAAAUAAUUUUAUUUUUCAAGUUUAUCAUAGACUCUGACAUAAUAGUAGAUCUUACAUAAUAUAUUUUUUUUCAUUUAGGUGAUGAUGAUGUAAUUUUAAAUAUGUUGGCUACUUUUGUAAUGUAAUUUUGAGAAUAAAUUGCAAAUAAAUGAAACCAAUAUUAAGGAUAUUCAUAACUUAAUUAUCAAUAUUAUUUUAUUAGGUUUGUAAUAUGACAUCAAACAUACCCUAGGUUUAUUAAAUGAAUAUUGUAUGUAAUUAGUUCCUAAUGUUUUGGUCGUGUCGCUUAUUGUAAAUAAUGCAUACUAAAAUUGAAUGUGAAUUUUGAAAUGGAGAAUUUAAAAUUGUAGAUAAAUUCUAUUCUUAACUGAAAAUGUGAUUGGUUAAGGUCUAAAAAGUUUGAACAAUGUUGAAAUUGUGACACACACACACUGAAGUUGAUAACUUGGGAAUGGUUCAUAAUAAGUGGAAUUUCUAUCAAAAUUUAGAUAAAGUACUCUAAAAUAAUAUAAAGAUUGAAACAUGAUACUGACAUGUUUCUUUUUAAAUAAAAUAAAUUCACCUUAUUUUCCCGAGUUCAAGUCUUAAAGAAAGUUCAAAAAGAUAUUAAAUUAUUGAGAUGUUACACUAUCCAUCAUCUUAUCUAGAAAGAAUAAAUUUGAUUGUUACAAUAAAGAGAUUAAUCAAUUAUUUAAUAUAUAUUUUUUUAUUCCUAAACUACUUGAUUAAUCUUUCAUAAUCUUGUAAUUGAUAGUAUGAUAUUAGUAAAACAAUCACAUAAAUAUGCAUAGAUGGUAUUCCAAUAACUACAAAAUAGUUGCAUGUUUUUUUUAUAUUUUCUUCGGUAUAUAUAAAAAAUGGAAAUGUUUUGGAUUACUUAGGCAAAAAAAUUCAUAAAUACUAACCAUCUUAUACUGGAGGUUGUGUGAAGAGCGAUAAGAUAAAAUUCUAUUUACAAUAUAUAAUCUAGUUUUGGUUGGAGGGAUAAAAAACAUUUAAAUUAAAAUGAAAGAGAAUAUCAUUAAUCAAGAAAGAGCUCAAAGAAGCUUAUCCAAAAAAAAAAUAAAAAAAAAAGUUAUGAACCAUAAACAAAAUAGAUUAAAAAAAAAUUCAAAAACAAAGAGAAAAUAAUCUUGUUAUCAAAAGAAUUAUUUUCUUCAUUUUUUUUUAAGAACACUAUCUUUUGAAUAUUUUACUAUAUUCCAAUAUUCACUAUUUUGGAGUUGCAAACUAAAAGUUAGAAUUAUCAUGUUAUAUUAAAUUUUAAAGGGUUAAUUCGAUGAUUAAGAAGACAUAUUAUCUUCUUCAUCUUCUUUUAUUUUAAAGUUUAAAUUUUAUAAUUAUAUAUUCCAAAAUAAAAUUCCAAUUAACACGUAAUCUAAUUAAAGUUUACAUUACAAAGUGCAAUAAUUUUUUUUUACCUAAGUCCUUUUAGAUAGUACUUUUUUCCCCAAUCAAUGGAAUUAUAAAGACAAAAAUAGCAUUGAACGACAUCGUCCAUCACCUAACAGCGGGAACCAUUUGAAUAAAUAAUCUUUUUGCUGCAGACUUUUCCAUCUUUAUUGGACCCUCGUGCUUUUACCAUAUCCUCAGAUCCCUGCUGCUCCAGCUAAUUCCCUUCAUUUUCUAGUCCCAGCAAAGUUGCCUUUAGCUAGUCGAUCCUCUGCUUACUUAGAAAAAUCAAGACUAAAAAAGAAAGAUGCACAAGAGAAACAAUUCACAAUUCAAAUCUUCACAAGAAAGCAUGGCCGAAGAGCCUCAAGCUGCAGGCACAAGUUUGGUAGGGAAAUUGAUAUUUUGUUGUUUGUUAAAUCCAAGUCCUGUUAUGGAUACCAGGAAUGAGGAAAUUAAUUCAAGAUCAAGGGAUUUGGAAAACCGUGCUUGUGGAGAGAGGCACCAUAGAUCAACAGGUAAAAGAACUCCCACAACUUCGUUGCUUGAUAGAUCUAAGGUUUAUGGUAGAAAGAAGGACAAAGAGUUCAUUCUUGAAUUGUUACUGGAGAGAGAAGUGGCUAGCAAUGGUAGAGUUUGUGUGGUUGCUAUAGGUGGGAUGGAAAGACUUGGCAAAGACCACUUUAAUGAUGAGUGCAUUAAUGAUGAGUGCUUUUCCACGUUACCUUUUGAAAGAACUGUCAUUUGAUGAUAGCCUGUCUUUGUUUGCAAAGCAUGCCCUGGGAAGGUCCGAUUUCAGUGAUCUGCCGGACCUGCAGGAGAUCGGCCAGAAAAUAGUUCAAAGGUUUGGGGUGAUGUGCGGAAUCCGGGACCGGUGAUGUACUGAUCUUUGCUCAUAGGAGGGAUAAGCACACUGAGACACAAUAUUUAACGUGGUUCGGCAAAUUGCCUACAUCCACGGGAGAGGUUCAUUUUAUUUAGAGAUAGAGAAAGAAUACAAUAAUACAUAAAGGAGGAUCUCAUCACUCAACUCCCAUCUCUCUUUGCUACAUAGGGCAGCAGCUGCUGGUGGCAGCCCUUCUCUUUCUUUCUCUCUUCUUCUCUCUUUUGUAGCUCUUCUACAAGACUCUCUCUCUCAUUUUGUGAUGCACUCUUGGUGUCUAUUUAUAGGCUUCAAUGACAGCUCCUCUUGCUACUUUGUCAUCAAUAGUGGCUGCCAAACUCAUCUCUUCUUCAACAAAGAUGGCUACCAAAGUCAAGGUUGGUGGUUGCCACCAACAAGCCUCUUUCUUUGACAAUGUCAACAUAAUUGGCAAUAUUCCAACACGGGGGACUGCCACUGGCUGUUAAAACACUGGGGGGCCUCUUGCGCACUAAACCCUAUGUUGAUGAAUGGGAAAGUGUACUUAAUAGGAAAAUGUGGGAUAUAUCAGAACACAAGGGCGGCAUAGUUCCAGCCUUGAGGUUGAGCUACUAUAAUCUUCCUUCACAUUUGAAGCAAUUGUUUGUUUUCUGUUCUAUACUUCCAAAAGACUAUGAAUUCUAUAAGGAUGAAUUAGUGUUGUUAUGGAUGGCCCAAGAAUUUCUGCCAGAUGCAGGAGGAAAGAAGCAGAUGGAAGACUUCUAUUCUUGUUUUAAUGAAUUAUUAUCAAGAUCGUUUUUCCAACGAUCAAGCAGCAAUGAACAUCGAUAUCUGAUGCAUCAUCUCAUCAGUGAUCUGGCUCAAUCUAUUGCUGGAGAAACGUGUGUCGAUUUAAAUGAUAAGCUGGGAAAUAACAAGGUCUUUCCAGAUCCUGAAAAGACUCCAUAUGUCAUUCACUCGUCGGACAUACUGAAGCGUCUGCGAACUUUGAUUGCAUUGCGACUUUACUCUUCACCUUGGGCUGCAUAUUGCUACUUGAGUAAAAAUGCAUUACAUGAGGCACUGUUCAAAUUGAGACGCUUAAGAGUUCUUUCAUUGAGUGGUUAUUGCAUUACAGAGCUACCAAAUUCA
rnacentral:lncRNA from 1 species